CUUUUCCACACAAUCACAGAAGUAGGGUCUCCUUUGGAGCCUUGAUGACUCAAGAUAGUGACUCCAACCGUGUAAGUGCAGCUUUCUCCGAACCUUUUACCCACCCCCAGCCGGGUUACUUCACCAUUCAUUUCUUCAGAGUUGAAUUGUUUACGCCUUCUGAGCUUGGCUUGCGCAGCGCGGUAACUUGCAUCUCCUUUUCCCCCUGCCGAGACAAGCGCCUGCUAACGAACAGUGAAGUCUAACUUCUGGAAAGGGAUGUUUACCUGCAAGUAAAAUGAUACAGCCUCUGGAAAAGGUGCUUUUGUUUGCUUACUUCAUUGCAACUUUACAACAUAGUAAGUGUGUCUGUCUCAUGCAUUUUAAAUAUCCAACUUCCUUGCAUGUCAAAUAUGCAGUGCUCUGAGAAUUUCUUUUUGUAUAUGUCCUGCUUUCUAAAACAGCGUUUCUUUGGGGUUAUUCCCCUGUUAAAUACCACCAAUUAUUAGUGCAACAGUUUGCACUGUAGUACUGA
rnacentral:lncRNA from 1 species